CCCAGCACCCUGUGCUGCCAUCAAGGCAGAUCUAGACAAAUGUGUAAAGGCGAAUGGUGAGGAAGCGUGUAAGGAGCUAAUGGAGGCGUUUGCUACCUGUGUGAAGAGCAACUGCUGAGGCGUCAUGAGGAGCUCAACAUGCAGGAAAACGUUUUACUGCACUGAGUACUCCACCUUCCCAGCAUUCCCCUGCAGCUCAUGGCACUGGACUCAAUGAUGGGGUUUGGGGUUUGGCAGCAGAGACCAUAUUUGUGUCUCCUUCCCUUCUCUACUGACCUGUGAAGCUUAAAUGGAUUCCUCCAACCACCAACCUCCCCUCCCCGUUUGUGGCUGAUUGUAUUGAUCUGACCUGUAGACAGUUUGAGAGUUGAUGUAAAUGAUGUGUCUCAGAUGCUUUCAAAAUGGAAUAAAGAUUUAAAAAAAAAAAAAAA